rnacentral:rRNA from 1 species
CCUACGGGUGGCAGCAGUGGGGAAUAUUGGACAAUGGGGGCAACCCUGAUCCAGCGAUGCCGCGUGAGUGAAGAAGUAUUUCGGUAUGUAAAGCUCUUUCAGCAGGGAAGAAAAUGACGAUACCUGAAUCAGAAGCCCCGGCUAACUCCGUGCCAGCAGCCGCGGUAAUACGUAGGGGGCAAGCGUUAUUCGGAUUUACUGGGUGUAAAGGUAGCGUAGACGGUUCAGCAAGUCAGAUGUGAAAGGGCUGGGCUCAACCCGGGGACUGCAUUGGAAACUGUUGAACUGGAGUACAGGAGAGGUAAGCGGAAUUCCGAGUGUAGCGGUGAAAUGCGUAGAGAUGUGGAGGAACACCAGUGGCGAAGGCGGCCUACUGGACUGAAACUGACGCUGAGGUGCGAAAGCGUGGGGAGCAAACAGGAUUAGAUACCCCUGUAGUC